AGAGUUUGAUCCUGGCUCAGGAUGAACGCUGGCGGCGUGCUUAACACAUGCAAGUCGAACGGAGUUUGUGCGGAAGGAGUCUUCGGACAACGGAAGUAUAAACUUAGUGGCGGACGGGUGAGUAACGCGUGGGUAACCUGCCUUAUACAAGGGGAUAACAGAGGGAAACUUCUGCUAAUACCGUAUAAAAAUAUUUCACGCAUGUGAGAUAUUUGAAAGAUUUAUCAGUAUAAGAUGGACCCGCGUCUGAUUAGGUAGUUGGUGAGGUAGAGGCUCACCAAGCCGACGAUCGGUAGCCGAUCUGAGAGGAUGACCGGCCACAUUGGGACUGAGACACGGCCCAAACUCCUACGGGAGGCAGCAGUGGGGAAUAUUGGACAAUGGGGGCAACCCUGAUCCAGCGACGCCGCGUGAGUGAAGAAGUAUUUCGGUAUGUAAAGCUCUAUCGAUAACGGAAGAAAAUGACAAGCCGUUAAGGAAGAAGCCCCGGCUAACUACGUGCCAGCAGCCGCGGUAAUACGUAGGGGGCAAGCGUUAUCCGGAUUUACUGGGUGUAAAGGGAGCGUAGACGGAAUGGCAAGUCUGAAGUGAAAUACCCGGGCUCAACCUGGGAACUGCUUUGGAAACUGUUGUUCUAGAGUGUUGGAGAGGUAAGUGGAAUUCCUGGUGUAGCGGUGAAAUGCGUAGAUAUCAGGAAGAACACCGGAGGCGAAGGCGGCUUACUGGACAAUAACUGACGUUGAGGCUCGAAAGCGUGGGGAUCAAACAGGAUUAGAUACCCUGGUAGUCCACGCUGUAAACGAUGAAUACUAGGUGUCGGGGAGCAAAGCUUCUCGGUGCCGUCGCAAACGCAAUAAGUAUUCCACCUGGGGAGUACGUUCGCAAGA
rnacentral:rRNA from 1 species